GGGGGGGGGGGGGGGGGGGGGGGGGGGGGGGGGGGGGGGGGGGGGGGCGGUGGGGGGGGGGGGGGCGCGGGUGGCGGGCGGGGGGGUGGAGCGUGAGGGGCCUGCCCGUGCGUUGGGGGUAACUUCGGGCGAGUGGGGCUAGUCGCGCGUCGGAGGUGUUGCUGCCGUGUGGGGGUUGCAAAGGUACGGCGGGUGGGUAUGCAAUCGCGGCUGUUCGACUGGUUGUUGGGUCAGUGGCUUACAACGGCUUUGACGGUUAGCCGGCCUGAGAGGGUGACCGGCCACAUGGGGACUGAGAUACGGCCCAGACUCCUACGGGAGGCAGCAGUGGGGAAUAUUGCACAAUGGGCGGAAGCCUGAUGCAGCAACGCCGCGUGCGGGAUGACGGCCUUCGGGUUGUAAACCGCUUUCGCCUGUGACGAAGCGUGAGUGACGGGAAUGGGAAAGAAGCACCGGCUAACUACGUG
rnacentral:rRNA from 1 species